UAGAUCCAAGCUUACCAGUGUUGGUGUGUGAAUCAUACAUGAUGCACGCAUAUCUGAAACUGAGGUCUAU